UCGAACGAAGCAUCUUACCGGAUUCUUCGGAUGAAAGUUUGGUGACUGAGUGGCGGACGGGUGAGUAACGCGUGGGUAACCUGCCCUGUACAGGGGGAUAACAGCUGGAAACGGCUGCUAAUACCGCAUAAGCGCACGAGGAGACAUCUCCUAGUGUGAAAAACUCCGGUGGUACAGGAUGGGCCCGCGUCUGAUUAGCUGGUUGGCAGGGUAACGGCCUACCAAGGCAACGAUCAGUAGCCGGUCUGAGAGGAUGAACGGCCACAUUGGAACUGAGACACGGUCCAAACUCCUACGGGAGGCAGCAGUGGGGAAUAUUGCACAAUGGGGGAAACCCUGAUGCAGCAACGCCGCGUGAGUGAAGAAGUAUUUCGGUAUGUAAAGCUCUAUCAGCAGGGAAGAUAAUGACGGUACCUGACUAAGAAGCUCCGGCUAAAUACGUGCCAGCAGCCGCGGUAAUACGUAUGGAGCAAGCGUUAUCCGGAUUUACUGGGUGUAAAGGGUGCGUAGGUGGCAGUGCAAGUCAGAUGUGAAAGGCCGGGGCUCAACCCCGGAGCUGCAUUUGAAACUGCUCGGCUAGAGUACAGGAGAGGCAGGCGGAAUUCCUAGUGUAGCGGUGAAAUGCGUAGAUAUUAGGAGGAACACCAGUGGCGAAGGCGGCCUGCUGGACUGUUACUGACACUGAGGCACGAA
rnacentral:rRNA from 1 species